rnacentral:lncRNA from 1 species
CACCCUUUAGCGAGCAAUCAUGGCCUUCUCCAAGGCCAGCCUGCUCCGAAGGAGCCCCAACUCACCUUCAAACUCUGCCACCCUCUCCAUGGCUUGUUGGAGGGCCAACUAGAGUACCUCCAAGUGAUCUAGUAGCCAUUCCGUCUACAAAUAGUUAACAGCGACAGCAUGAAGGAGAGAGCAAAAAUGAAGGAAAGAAAGAAGAUGGAGAGAAGAA